UGGGGAAUAUUGGACAAUGGGCGCAAGCCUGAUCCAGCCAUGCCGCGUGAGUGAUGAAGGCCUUCGGGUUGUAAAGCUCUUUUAGCGGGGACGAUGAUGACGGUACCCGCAGAAUAAGCCCCGGCUAACUUCGUGCCAGCAGCCGCGGUAAGACGAAGGGGGCUAGCGUUGCUCGGAAUUACUGGGCGUAAAGCGCGUGUAGGCGGCUGUUCAAGUUGGGCGUGAAAGCCUUGGGCUUAACCCAAGAAAUGCGCUCAAUACUGGAUAGCUAGAGGACCGGAGAGGAUAGUGGAAUUCCCAGUGUAGUGGUGAAAUACGUAGAGAUUGGGAAGAACACCAGUGGCGAAGGCGGCUAUCUGGACGGUUUCUGACGCUAAGACGCGAAAGCGUGGGGAGCAAACA
rnacentral:rRNA from 1 species